AUUGAACGCUGGCGGCAUGCCUUACACAUGCAAGUCGAACGGCAGCACGGGAGCUUGCUCCUGGUGGCGAGUGGCGAACGGGUGAGUAAUACAUCGGAACGUACCCCUGAAGUGGGGGAUAACGUAGCGAAAGUUACGCUAAUACCGCAUAUUCUGUGAGCAGGAAAGAGGGGGAUCGCAAGACCUCUUGCUUUAGGAGCGGCCGAUGUCGGAUUAGCUAGUUGGUGAGGUUAAAGGCUCACCAAGGCGACGAUCCGUAGCGGGUCUGAGAGGAUGAUCCGCCACACUGGGACUGAGACACGGCCCAGACUCCUACGGAGGCAGCAGUGGGGAAUUUUGGACAAUUGGGCGCAAGCCUGAUCCAGCCAUGCCGCGUGAGUGAAGAAGG
rnacentral:rRNA from 1 species